AUUGAACGCUGGCGGCAUGCUUUACACAUGCAAGUCGAACGGUAACAGGUUAAGCUGACGAGUGGCGAACGGGUGAGUAAUGCAUCGGAACGUGCCCGGUCGUGGGGGAUAACGCAGCGAAAGCUGCGCUAAUACCGCAUACGAUCUGAGGAUGAAAGCGGGGGACCGUAAGGCCUCGCGCGAUCGGAGCGGCCGAUGUCAGAUUAGGUAGUUGGGGGGGUAAAGGCUCACCAAGCCAACGAUCUGUAGCUGGUCUGAGAGGACGACCAGCCACACUGGGACUGGGACACGGCCAAGGCUCCGACGGGAGGCAGCAGUGGGGAAUUUUGGACAAUGGGCGAAAGCCUGAUGCAGCAAUGCCGCGUGCAGGAAGAAGGCCUUCGGGUUGUAAACUGCUUUUGUACGGAGCGAAAAGGUCUCCUCUAAUACAGGGGGCUCAUGACGGUACCGUAAGAAUAAGCACCGGCUAACUACGUGCCAGCAGCCGCCGUAA
rnacentral:rRNA from 1 species